UCAUUAUAGUUAAUGAACAAAUUUCAGUGGUGGAAUUUAGCACCAGUAGAUGAAGAAUUUCAGUUCACUUCAUGAAGAAAUUCCAGUGGCGUAAACAGCUAGGAAUUCAUUCGAGUGGUUUUCUUUUUUUUUUUACUUGUUGCACAAACUGUGCUCUUUUUCAACGAGCUAGCAUGGCAUCCGUUCACGCAUCUGUUCUCAUGAAACUAUUUGUCUAGCUCUGAAAUCCAUUAAAUUCACUAAAAAAAUCUUUUGUGUAAAUGAAUUUUGUGUUUCUUAUUGUGAAAGUAAUAUCCAGGCAUGUCUGAACUUGGAGCAUAAGAGCUAACAUCACCCCUGUAGUCCUAGAGAAGUCCCGCUCUUCAGAAAUCAGUUUUAACUUGCUUUUCUAUUGGUGAUCUUUUUUUACUAUUGGACCUUCAGUGAAAUUGUGAUGUGAAAUUUCUCUAUGUUCUAAUCAUCCGAAAGUAACAUGGCAUGUGUCCACAUAGUUGUUCUCAUGACACUAUUUGUCUGGCUCUGACAUCCAUUAUAUUCACCUCUCGAUACCGAGAUGAUCAUGUAGAAGACGGACGAGUAGAUAAAGAAAGAGCCAGAGUUUAAGGCUAUAGCCAGGAAGGCAUACAUAAUCGCAGUGUCUUGCUUGGACAAGCAAAAUGUACCGCUGCCAGUUGUGAUGCAGCUCUUGGAUAUGGACGAGAUACUGGAAAUAAUACAUGUUGAUCCACUAUUUCUUUUACUUUUUUUCUUGACCUCUAAGGACAUCUUUUCAUAAUUGCCUAGAUUGAUUUUUUAUGGGCUUAUCUAGAUUGUUAUUAUUCGCUCAGAUUAAUAUGGUUGAGGUGUUGGCUUUUCACCACCUUGGUUCUCAUGUGUAAGUUUGGUGGCACCAAUCAAUUCAUA